rnacentral:rRNA from 1 species
AGCGAACGCUGGCGGCAGGCUUAACACAUGCAAGUCGAGCGGGCCCUUCGGGGUCAGCGGCCGACGGGUGAGUAACACGUGGGAACGUACCCUUUGGUUCGGAAUAACGCUGGGAAACUAGCGCUAAUACCGGAUACGCCCUUUUGGGGAAAGGCUUGCUGCCGAAGGAUCGGCCCGCGUCUGAUUAGCUAGUGGGUGGGGUAAUGGCCUACCAAGGCGACGAUCAGUAGCUGGUCUGAGAGGAUGAUCAGCCACACUGGGACUGAGACACGGCCCAGACUCCUGCGGGAGGCAGCAGUGGGGAAUAUUGGACAAUGGGCGCAAGCCUGAUCCAGCCAUGCCGCGUGAGUGAUGAAGGCCUUAGGGUUGUAAAGCUCUUUUGUCCGGGACGAUAAUGACGGUACCGGAAGAAUAAGCCCCGGCUAACUUCGUG